AUAGAGGAAGUAAAAGUCGUAACAAGGUUUCCGUAGGUGAACCUGCGGAAGGAUCAUUAAUGAUUGCGAAUGGUUGCCUUCGGUGCUGGCUCUUGCAAGUGCACGUUGGUGGCUUUCAUCCAAUACCCCUGUGAACCUUUGGCCUCUUGCUAGCUUCGGCUGGCAGAGGAUUUUUACACACUCGAAUGUAAUGAAAACUAUUGUCGUGCGCAAGCACUAAUGUACAACUUUCAACAACGGAUCUCUUGGCUCUCGCAUCGAUGAAGAACGCAGCGAAAUGCGAUAAGUAAUGUGAAUUGCAGAAUUCAGUGAAUCAUCGAAUCUUUGAACGCACCUUGCACCCUUUGGUAUUCCGAAGGGUAUGCUCGUUUGAGUGUCAUUGUACUCUCACACUCUCUGAUCUUUUUGGAUUCAGGGAGCGGUGGACUUGGGUGUUUGCUGCUUACCUGCAGCUCACCUCAAAUGCGUCAGUGCACCUCUUGGUUGGACAUAGUACGGCGUGAUAAGUAUCUUCGCCGGCACCUCGCAAGAGGGUGGCCGAUUGGGAGCUCUGUGCUUUCAAACCGUCUUCGGACAAUUUCUGACAACUUGACCUCAAAUCGAGUAGGACUACCCGCUGAACUUAAGCAUAU
rnacentral:rRNA from 1 species